CGAAAGAGAAAAGCGCGAGGCGCACGCACACCGGCCCAUCCCGGCGCAGAGACCUCGUCUGCCCCGGGAGGGGGAUCUGUCUGUGGUGCUUCCCGGUCUCUAAGCCCAGCCCGGACUCCCUUCCCUUCCCUUCCAGGGACGCCUGGUUUCCCCCCAAGCGAACCGGGAUGGGAAGUGACUUCAAUGAGAUUGAACUUCAGCUGGAUUGAAAGAGAGGCUAGAAGUUCCGCUUGCCAGCAGCCUCCUUAGUAGAGCGGAAUGAGUAAUACCCACACGGUGCUUGUCUCACUUCCCCAUCCGCACCCGGCCCUCACCUGCUGUCACCUCGGCCUCCCACACCCGGUCCGCGCUCCCCGCCCUCUUCCUCGCGUAGAACCGUGGGAUCCUAGGUGGCAGGACUCAGAGCUAAGGUAUCCACAGGCCAUGAAUUCCUUCCUAAAUGAGCGGUCAUCGCCGUGCAGGACCUUAAGGCAAGAAGCAUCGGCUGACAGAUGUGAUCUCUGAACCUGAUAGAUUGCUGAUUUUAUCUUAUUUUAUCCUUGACUUGGUACAAGUUUUGGGAUUUCUGAAAAGACCAUACAGAUAACCACAAAUAUCAAGAAAGUCGUCUUCAGUAUUAAGUAGAAUUUAGAUUUAGGUUUCCUUCCUGCUUCCCACCUCCUUCGAAUAAGGAAACGUCUUUGGGACCAACUUUAUGGAAUAAAUAAGCUGAGCUGUAUUUCAAGUAAUAUAGUUAUAAAUUAACAAUGUAGCAGUUAUUGAUAGAGAAAUUGAGAAAACUGAAACGUGACCGGAGUAUUGGAAAUAACGUAGUACAUCACCUAGCACAAUGACACAUAGUAGGUGCUCAAUAAAUUUAUGCUUAUAAUUUUUGUCACUUCUAUGGCAGGAUUUUUUUAUUAGGUUAAAAUUAUCUUUUAAACACCUUCCGGAAUUUUAGAAUAUUCAUUAAUAAUGUCUUCAAACCUUUCAACUGAAAUAAAUUUACAGCUGAAGUCUGAUGAUUUAAAGUUAGAAAGUUUAAUCUUGAAUAUAAAUGAACAUUUUCUCUCCCACAUUUUCUUGGGCAUUUUGAGAAGUAAAUGCGUUAUUUAUUGGUCCAUGAAAUGUGACUGUAAAUAUUCUUUGCUAUACAUUAUGUCUAUAUAUCUGCAUUCAUCCUCAAUGCCAAAACUAGAAUCAUUAGUCUUAAUGAUCAUUUUAAGUACAGGCAGUCCUCGCUUUCCUUGAUACCAUGUUAACCGAAACUUGUGUAUGUCAACACGGUGUCCUUGCUUUGCUUGGUUAAGUGUGAGUUCUUCCUCCCUUUUUUUAAGAGUUGUACAAUGUUUUUCAGUCGCCUACCGAAUCAGGUCAUAGACUAUGGAAUUGACCCCACCCCACCAACAUUUUUACAGCUACCCUGAUUUCUGACCAGAAAGGAAAAAAAAACUUUCCAGCUCUAUCACACAUUUUACCUACUCUUAAACUUAGGAGGUAUUACAAAUAGCAUUUUCUCAUGUUCUCUUUCUGGCCUGUACCUCCCUGCUAAGCUUCCUUCAGUGUUCAUCCUCACCUCAUAGAGAGAUGAAGUGAAGAGACAAACAGAAGUCAUUUUCUUCCUUACUUUAGUGGUUUCUGGUUUAGUUAGUUUGGGCCAAACUGUGGACAAGUACCUUUUCAGGUAACUUUUUUUUCUUAUUUCUAUGUCCUCAACACCUAGUGGAGUACGUAGCCAAUAGUAGAUGCUUAAUAAACAUUUCUUAAAUUAAUAUUGUUGACCUUUUCUGACCCUGUUCUUGACAGUAAGGUACAUAAUCUGCCUUCAUCCCUUUAGUCCUUAGGAACAGAUAAAGUCAUGGAUAUGAAAGUGAUCACUGUCAUUAAUAUCCACAUUAAAAUUGCUCUUGAUUUUAGUUUCUCCAUAAUCAUUUUCCCUAAACAAUGAACUCUGUUCACCUUUUUUUUUAAAAUAUGCACAGUGAAUAUUACUGGUAGCCCAAAUCUUCUAACAUAAAAUUUCCAUUUUGUAAAAGCUUCUGAUAAGCAUAUAUGUUAUGAAUUGAAUGUUUGAUUAUUAUACUUUAAUAUUCUUGAAAAUAUUGAUACCUGGACUGGAAAGAAAACAGACAAAAGUAAAUCUCAGAAUAAAUUACUGCUUUAAACAUGAUGCAUGUGUGACGGUUGCUUCUUAUCUCUUAAAUACAGCUAAAGAAUAGGGGAAAAAUCUUUAGAAUCAAUUUAUAAAAGAAGAUUAUUAAAAUUUAGGUUUAUUCAAAUCAAA
rnacentral:lncRNA from 1 species